UCUUAGUGGCGGACGGGUGAGUAACGCGUGGGGAACCUGCCCUGUACAGGGGGAUAACACUUAGAAAUAGGUGCUAAUACCGCAUAAGCGCACAGUAUCGCAUGAUACAGUGUGAAAAACUCCGGUGGUACAGGAUGGACCCGCGUCUGAUUAGCUGGUUGGCGGGGUAACGGCCCACCAAGGCGACGAUGCGUAGGGGUUCUGAGAGGAAGGCCCCCCACACUGGUACUGAGACACGGACCAGACUCCUACGGAAGGCAGCAG
rnacentral:rRNA from 1 species